AUCCAGCUGACGAGUCCUAAAUAGGACGAAACAUGUGUCCUGAAU
rfam:Schistosoma margrebowiei strain Zambia genome assembly, scaffold: SMRZ_scaffold0001048